UAGGGAAUCUUCCACAAUGGACGCAAGUCUGAUGGAGCAACGCCGCGUGAGUGAAGAAGGUUUUCGGACCGUAAAGCUCUGUUGUUGGUGAAGAAGGAUAGAGGUAGUAACUGGCCUUUAUUUGACGGUAAUCAACCAGAAAGUCACGGCUAACUACGUGCCAGCAGCCGCGGUAAUACGUAGGUGGCAAGCGUUGUCCGGAUUUAUUGGGCGUAAAGCGAGCGCAGGCGGAAGAAUAAGUCUGAUGUGAAAGCCCUCGGCUUAACCGAGGAAUUGCAUCGGAAACUGUUUUCUUGAGUGCAGAAGAGGAGAGUAGAACUCCAUGUGUAGCGGUGGAAUGCGUAGAUAUAUGGAAGAAUACCAGUGGCGAAGGCGGCUCUCUGGUCUGCAACUGACGCUGAGGCUCGAAAGCAUGGGUAGCGAACAGGAUUAGAUACCCUGGUAGUCCAUGCCGUAAACGAUGAGUGCUAAGUGUUGGGAGGCUUCCGCCUCUCAGUGCUGCAGCUAACGCAUUAAGCACUCCGCCUGGGGGAGUACGGCCGCAAGGUUGAA
rnacentral:rRNA from 1 species